GACGAACGCUGGCGGCGUGCUUAACACAUGCAAGUCGAACGGAAAGGCCUUUCGGGGUACUCGAGUGGCGAACGGGUGAGUAACACGUGGGUGAUCUGCCCUGCACUUCGGGAUAAGCCUGGGAAACUGGGUCUAAUACCGGAUAUACCUCAUGGAUCGCAUGGUUUGUGGGGGAAAGCUUUUGCGGUGUGGGAUGGGCCCGCGGCCUAUCAGCUUGUUGGUGAGGUUAUGGCUUACCAAGGCGACGACGGGUAGCCGGCCUGAGAGGGUGUCCGGCCACACUGGGACUGAGAUACGGCCCAGACUCCUACGGGUGGCAG
rnacentral:rRNA from 1 species